GGUGAACGCUGGCGGCGUGCUUAACACAUGCAAGUCGAACGAAGCACCUUGAUUCGAUUCUUCGGAUGAAGAUCUUGGUGACUGAGUGGCGGACGGGUGAGUAACGCGUGGGUAACCUGCCUCAUACAGGGGGAUAACAGUUAGAAAUGACUGCUAAUACCGCAUAAGACCACAGCACCGCAUGGUGCAGGGGUAAAACCUCCGGUGGUAUGAGAUGGACCCGCGUCUGAUUAGGUAGUUGGUGGGGUAACGGCCUACCAAGCCGACGAUCAGUAGCCGACCUGAGAGGGUGACCGGCCACAUUGGGACUGAGACACGGCCCAAACUCCUACGGGAGGCAGCAGUGGGGAAUAUUGCACAAUGGGGGAAACCCUGAUGCAGCGACGCCGCGUGAGCGAUGAAGUAUUUCGGUAUGUAAAGCUCUAUCAGCAGGGAAGAAAAUGACGGUACCUGACUAAGAAGCACCGGCUAAAUACGUG
rnacentral:rRNA from 1 species